rnacentral:rRNA from 1 species
UACGGGGGGAGCAAGCGUUGUUCGGAUUUACUGGGCGUAAAGGGCGCGUAGGCGGCGCGACAAGUCACUUGUGAAAUCUCUGGGCUCAACCCAGAACGGUCAAGUGAUACUGUCGUGCUAGAGUGCGGAAGGGGCAACUGGAAUUUACGGUGUAGCAGUGAAAUGCGUAGAGAUCGUAAGGAAGGCCAGUGGCGAAGGCGACUUCCUGGACCAAUACUGACGCUCAUGUGCGAAAGCGUGGGGAUCAAACAGG